GCCGUCUUAGCCUUAGCGCAGUAGAGCGCGUGGUUUUUAACCACGUGGUCGUGGGUCUGAUCCUUACAGACGGCG